AUAUUGUUUUACACCCUUUUAGGCACAAACUCUAAAUCUUAACCGUCAAUAACUUUAUCAAA
rnacentral:misc_RNA from 1 species